rnacentral:rRNA from 1 species
UAGGGAAUCUUCCGCAAUGGACGCAAGUCUGACGGAGCAACGCCGCGUGAGUGAAGAAGGAUUUCGGUUCGUAAAACUCUGUUGUUAGAGAAGAACAGCGCAUAGAGUAACUGUUAUGCGUGUGACGGUAUCUAACCAGGAAGCCACGGCUAACUACGUGCCAGCAGCCGCGGUAAUACGUAGGUCCCGAGCGUUGUCCGGAUUUAUUGGGCGUAAAGCGAGCGCAGGCGGUUAGAUAAGUCUGAAGUUAAAGGCAGUGGCUCAACCAUUGUAGGCUUUGGAAACUGUUUAACUUGAGUGCAGAAGGGGAGAGUGGAAUUCCAUGUGUAGCGGUGAAAUGCGUAGAUAUAUGGAGGAACACCGGUGGCGAAAGCGGCUCUCUGGUCUGUAACUGACGCUGAGGCUCGAAAGCGUGGGGAGCGAACAGG